GCCCCUUAUUCCUAAACUGUUAGGACCAAAACUCCCAAAAUCAAACCCAACCUUCCUUUUAUGGUCAUAAACCUUGUGUUUAAAUUUCAUAGAUUUCUUUUUACUUAUACUAAAGUUAUGGUGCAAAAACCAAAAAUAAUGCUUAUUUGGGCCCCUUUUUGGCCCCUAAUUCCUAAACUGUUGUGACCUCAACUCCAAAAAUCAAUCCCAACCUUCCUUUUGUGGUCAUAAACCUUGUGUUAAAAUUUCAUUGAUUUCUAUUUACUUAUACUAAAGUUAUUGUGCGAAAACCAAGAAUAAUGCUUAUUUGGGCCCUUUUUUGGCCCUUAAUUCCUAAACUGUUGGAACCAAAACUCCCAAAAUCAAUCCCAACCUUCCUUUUGUGGUCAUACACCUUGUGUCAAAAUUUCAUAGAUUUCUAUUCACUUAAACUAAAGUUAUAGUGCGAAAACCAAGAAAAUGCUUAUUUGGGCCCUUUUUUGGCCCCUAAUUCCUAAAAUGUUGGGACCAAAACUCCCAAAAUCAAUCCCAACCUUCCUUUUGUGGUCAUAAACCUUGUGUUAAAAUUUCAUUGAUUUCUAUUCACUUUUACUAAAGUUAGAGUGCGAAAACUAAAAGUAUUCGGACGACGACGCAGACGACGCCAACGUGAUAGCAAUAUACGACCAAAAAAUUAAAAUUUUUGCGGUCAUAUAAAAAUUAAAAAAAGAU
rnacentral:lncRNA from 1 species